GGAAGGCUGUGGGAGGACAUAAUAACUGGGAGGACUUCACAGCCUCUACCUGGGGGUAAAGGGAGGAGGGCUGAGCAUGGAGGGUGUUGUCUUUUAAUUCUGACUAUGUGUUGAGUGGCAGGAGAAAUUUUGAAAGCUGCUUUGAGGAGGAGCCAGUGCCUGGGCAUGGAGUGUUCUGUGCCCCGCUCUCCCCACUUGUAGGAAACCUUCUCUCCAUGCACAAGUAAUUGGACUGGAAGGAGUACGACUGGCAAAGGAAAAGAGCCAUUCUGUCUCCUCCUCCUGUUCCUUAUCUCUCACAUCCUGACUUUCUUCCAAAGCCGCCUCAGCUGUGCCAAGCUGGCUGCAGAGCGUCUUGACAGGUGCCAGCAUCUGCUUAGCCUCCCUGUGCACUCCAGGCCUCUCUAUUAGCUGCUCACCGUCCCUGGCCAUUGGGACCGCUUCAGAUGGCUGCGGCCUGUGCUGCCCCAGGGAGCACCUUCUCUAAGCAGCUCCUUUUCCUUCUCCUGGUUCUGGUAUUACUUUGCAAUGCGUGUCAGAAAGUUUCCCUUCAAGUUCCCUCUCAUCUUAAGGCCGAAAAACCUAUAGGCAAAGGUGAGACUCUGUUGAGAAAAGAUG
rnacentral:lncRNA from 1 species